GAGUUUAGGAAUGUGCGCUGUGACCUUGCAGCCUCCUUUGGAUCUCAGCUCCUCUACUUACUAGCUGCCUGGUCUUGGGCAAGGUAGAGAACCUCUUUAUGCCUAGGUUCCUUAUCUAUCAAAUGGGGAUGUAAGAAACCCACUUCAUGGGGUUAGAGGAAUAUGACAAUCACUCAUAGGUAUUUACUAGGUGUUGUGCACUGUGCAUGCAUGUCCAGGGCUUAGAAUACCCUCUGUCACGUAGCAAGUGUUCAGUAGAUUAUAACUUCUGAUGUGAUGACUGUAUCAAUAUCACUCGGCACCUAGAGAGGCAGCCGCCAUUAAUCUUCCCAUUUCACAGGUAGGAAAAGUUGAGGCACGGAGAGUUAAGUAAACCGUAGAAGCUCCUAUUAAAAGGAAAGUUUGGAAUUCAAGGUAGACAGGCUGAGCUCUGAGCCUUGAACCAAUGGGCUCCCCACUCCAGCCCCUGACUCUGUCUCCUUGGGAGAAAAUGGCUGCUUUGGUCCUUUUCAGAGGUGCUAACUCUAGAACCAGAGGCAGAAAGAGCCUCUGAGUCUGUGCUCAGACACCCCCCCACACACUGGACGCUGUUUUUGUUCUUGGGAAACCUCGAGGAAGCGGGCUCCCCACCAUCGCAGAUCCCCAGGGUGGAGGAACCCACUGGUGACGUGACGUUGUGACCAGGAGUCCCAGGACAAAGCUCAGCAGUUUCGUUGUCACACACUGAGACGCCAGCCGAGCCACCUGCCCGAGUCUCUCCACCUCCCAGGAAUGGCUGCCAGGUAGGAUCGACGAUCCCGCCUUCCAGCCACCCUCCCUCUGCCACAGGACAGAGGACGUCCGUCCUGAGCAGAGAAGGCUGUGGGGAGGCGCAGGCUUGUGACUGGCUCUACCUCCCCAGGCCCUGGCCUCCCUGAC
rnacentral:lncRNA from 1 species